rnacentral:rRNA from 1 species
GACGAACGCUGGCGGCGUGCCUAAUACAUGCAAGUAGAACGCACAGUUUAUACCGUAGCUUGCUACACCAUAGACUGUGAGUUGCGAACGGGUGAGUAACGCGUAGGUAACCUGCCUGGUAGCGGGGGAUAACUAUUGGAAACGAUAGCUAAUACCGCAUAAUAUUGAUUAUUGCAUGAUAAUUGAUUGAAAGAUGCUAUUGCAUCACUACCAGAUGGACCUGCGUUGUAUUAGCUAGUAGGUGAGGUAACGGCUCACCUAGGCGACGAUACAUAGCCGACCUGGGAGGGUGAUCGGCCACACUGGGACUGAGACACGGCCCAGACUCCUACGGGAGGCAGCAGUAGGGAAUCUUCGGCAAUGGACGAAAGUCUGACCGGGCAACGCCGCGUGAGUGAAGAAGGUUUUCGGAUCGUAAAGCUCUGUUGUAAGAGAAGAACGGGUGUGAGAGUGGAAAGUUCACACUGUGACGGUAUCUUACCAGAAAGGGACGGCUAACUACGUG